CCCAAUAAUGAUCUCAUGAUGGCAGCCACCAGAGAGCAAUAAUAGCACAGCAGAAGAGCCGGGGGGGGUUUUGAGUGUGCAAGGAGUUGUUCCUCGCGCAGGACGCGCAUUAACUCGACGAACACCAGCCCGCCCGCCGGCCCUCCCAAUCCCUAUCUAGCUCCUAGGGUUUGGCCCCUGCGUUCUCAGCUGUUGUGGGUGAUCCCUCCACCGUCCAGAUGUGACCCAACGGUGGAUGAAAGAGCCUGCCCCAUGGAUCAAGGGAUGUCACUCACCUAUAAAGAAGAGACUAGGGGGAAGCUUUCAUGAGCCGUCCAUGGAGUCGCGAAGACGAAGAAACAGGAAGCUUAUCCUUUGAGGGGAAUGUUGUCUGGCUCGAGGUCACUGCUAGUCCUCCACCCUGUGGAAGAGAUCUCGGACCAGGCUUCAUUCCCCCCAGUCAUAGCUUCCAUCUCCGACACAUGAGGGUGUAGUACAUAUCGGAACGUUGCAGAUCUGCAAGACUCAUAACUCAUAGUUCUGUUUCUCUCUUUGCUGCUUGUUUUGCGUUGAGAUUUCCUCUCCCCCCGCCCCCCGUUCUCUCUCUCUCUCUCUCUCUCUCUCUAGAAAAGAUUUCCGUUUGCUCGCUCGUUGAUAGCUUUUCUUUUUGGUGUCAUGCGAUUAACGUCCGAGGACACAUGCAGAGCAGCAGAUUGGUGUAAUGAUGCUGGUUUUGACCGGAUCUUUUGCUUCUGAUCUCUUUUUGUUUCCUCGUGCUUCUUUUCUCCCUCUGACAGGAGGCUAAAAGGUUUUCCAUCAUUGUCUUAUGAUUACUCUCUGAAGGAUUCUUUCUUUUCUUUUUCAUUUGACCCUUUAUUUUGGGUGGGGGGGGGGGGGAAGAGAAUUCCUUUAUGCAUGGAUUUCAUGGAUCUUGUAGUUCAUCUCAAGAUCUUUUGAUGGUCAUUCGAAGAUCCUCCAUCGUUUUCUUUUUCGUUCUUCUCUUCUCCUGUGCGAAUCUCCACUUGGUGUUCUUUGUUAUGCCACGACAUAUCUUUUUCUCAUGAAAAUUUAUCGUCUCCAUCUUCUGUGCACGCCUACUUGUGAUCGACAACCUUCUAGAGGAGGUUUUCUGUUGUUGAUGGAAGCACUGGAAACAUACUCCAUUCACUUUCUUGAACAUGGACUAAUUUGUUCUUCAAUAUCACUUAGCUUCUCCUCUUGCUUUGCAAGCUCUAUUUUGAUUUUUUUUCCAUGAUCUAUCUGGUUGGAAUUGCAUAUAUGUUUAUUUGUCUAUGAAUUCUUCUAAAUCUUUUAAACUAUAAGAGAAACAGUUCUCAAGAAGUUUCCAAAAAGAUUUCAAGGGAAAAAAAUCUUUUAAUGCUCCCUUUUGGAAAAACAACUGAGAAUAUGUGCCAAUAUUUCAUAUAGAAGAUUAUAGAAGAGUUCAUAUAAGAGACACUAAUCUCUUUCAAAGCCUUAUUUAUAAAGGAAAUAGAGCUUAACACUUACCUUCUAAUUUAGCUUGGACAUGUUAAAUUAGGAGUUCAUUUUGAGAAUAUGAUAUGAUAUUUAUUACAUAUGACAUGGUUUGUGAUAGAUGAAAUUGGCAAAGAGAUUCAGAUCGAGAGGUCAAAUAUUUUAGUUUAAUGCUACUUAUAUCCUGUAAACUAAUUAUCAAGGUCUAUCAUGUUUGCUCAGAAACAUUUUUCACAAUUUUGUCUAAGUUUUGCCAUGAAUUUAUGGUUUGAUUACUUGUCGAAGAAUUGAAAAAUUGCUUUUUUAUCAGUACAGUUGAGAUAAUGAGAUUGGCUUAAUGAUGUUUGCAAAUCUGUUGCUGGCUUACUUGCACAUCUGCUUAUCAUUUUAUUAUAAUCACAUCUAGUCCUACAUCGAGAUCGAUCAAUGGUAUAUCAUGUUUCACCAUGUUUAUAAGUUUCUUAAAGCUUGAUCUAUAUAUCCUUCACAGCAAUUAAUAUUUUCAUGCAUUUAUUUCCUUUUGUUGUCUAAUACCCGUGACUUGUUAGAUCACAAGGCAUUGUCAUCUUUGAUUCAUUUAUUACUGCCUCCAGCUGCAAGAGAGAGGAACACCAUUGCAAAAGCAGCAAGUAAAACAUGGAGAAAGACACCAUGGAAAAAGGAGCCACAAAGGGAAUGGCUGUUUACUUGCAGUGGAUGUGUAGAUCCUUCUUUUGAGCUUAUUAGGUUUAUAUCUACAAGUUUAAGGGUGUCUUACCUCUCAUCUUCUUCUUACGACACAGGUUUUGAGACACCCAUCAUCUGAACCUUUUUACCUCUUAAGCUAUUCCUUUUGUUAAAGUUCUUGGGAUGAGAAAUGAUAUGCCUUUUGAGCUUAGGGAUUGUAAGCUUUGAGUCUCGUGUCCA